AAACAGUCAAGUAGGCUCAAUCCAUUUCAUUUUAAUAUUCAACAGCAUGUUUUCUAAAGAUGUUGCCAAAGGAUUAAAACUCAACAUUAUUUGCCUCUAUUCAGGCUUUGGCAACUGUCUCCGACAGAUGGCACCAGACACACGGUAGGAGCUGAGUCCACAGGUGUUCUCCAUCAGCCUCAUCAGGAGAGGAGCUUAAGAACCCAAUGCUGCCAACACUCCAGUGCCUGAGUGUUAACCUACAGUGGUUACCUCCAGUUCCAAGCUUCUGUAUCCAACCUGCUUGUGCAGAAAACCCAGACUCUCUCUUUGCAAGAGAACUUCACGGACUAUCUUCUCAGUUGGCUGCAUUUGGGUUUCAAGGCUCCUCAGGCUUUCUGUGAACGAACCUGGCUCACCCUCCACCGUGCUCCCCUCUAAGAUCAUCCACCUGGUGCCACCUCUACCUCAAGUGCAAAUUCAAUCCAGCAGAGAAAAAUUAUGAUGUGGGAGACCGUGAACUUUUUGCAAUAAAACUGGCCCUGGAGGAGCGUCAUUGGCCGGAGGUUGCUGAACACCCAGUUGUGACCUGGUUCCAAGAAUAUCAAGCCCUACGCCCUCUCUCGACAGUUCUCCCCAGACGACUCUGACAGGGAACCUGCUCCUAUCCUACCACCAAGUUGUGUUGUUGGAGCCCUCACGUGUGGAGUUCUAGGAGUUUACUGUUCACUUGCUUUACCUGCUACUAACCCCAUCCAACCUCUAGAUGGCACCAGACGCACGUUAGGAGCUGAGUCCACAGGUGUUCCCCAAUAGCCUCAUCAGGAGAGGAGCUUAAGAACCCAACGCUGCCAACACUCCGGUGCCUGAGUGUUAACCUACAGUGGCAACUCUAGCUGGCCAA